UAGGGAAUCUUCCGCAAUGGACGAAAGUCUGACGGAGCAACGCCGCGUGAGUGAUGAAGGCUUUCGGGUCGUAAAACUCUGUUGUUAGGGAAGAACAAGUGCUAGUUGAAUAAGCUGGCACCUUGACGGUACCUAACCAGAAAGCCACGGCUAACUACGUGCCAGCAGCCGCGGUAAUACGUAGGUGGCAAGCGUUAUCCGGAAUUAUUGGGCGUAAAGCGCGCGCAGGUGGUUUCUUAAGUCUGAUGUGAAAGCCCACGGCUCAACCAUGGAGGGUCAUUGGAAACUGGGAGACUUGAGUGCAGAAGAGGAAAGUGGAAUUCCAUGUGUAGCGGUGAAAUGCGUAGAGAUAUGGAGGAACACCAGUGGCGAAGGCGACUUUCUGGUCUGUAACUGACACUGAGGCGCGAAAGCGUGGGGAGCAAACAGGAUUAGAUACCCGUGGUAGUCCACGCCGUAAACCGAUGAGUG
rnacentral:rRNA from 1 species